ACGGCAGCGAUCAGACGAUCUCACGAGAGACGAAGAACAUUUUCUCCCCGAGAUCUGCAGGAAGGAAAAUGGCAGCUUGAUUGAUCGGCACAGCUGUAACGGAGGGAAGUCGCAGAUGUCAUGUUGGAAACGCAACAAGGAAUUGUAACUUAUCACUGGGUUACGCAAACAACACAAGAUGUGUAUCGCUACACAGUUACACAAAACCCGGCCGGGCUAUGAAUCAGCACUGGGUAUGGCGGUGCGUUUCCUGCAGAAUUGUAAAUCAUUACGGUACAAGAAGUGUCAGAUUGAAAGAGGUGAUCGGGAACCACCCCUCUGCCUUAAGUCCACCCCUGUCUAUAUAUAUAUAGAUCAAUGUACGUGCUUAACAGAACGUCUCAAUUUAACCCUUCCGCAGCCAGAGACCUCGCCUCCAAUGACAAUGCUCUAGAUGUAGUAGUAAACUCCUCCUGCUUCUCUAAAGACACAGAGGGUGCAGAUUGCACUUUGUACCUUCUACCAACAGACAGAGCAGGACCUGACAUUCAUACGACCAUAGCCAUGCCGCUAUUCACCCGAGCCCUGGGCCUUCUACGCCAAGCAAGAUCACCCCUGGUCACGAGCAAGGCAGGAGUGGUAUACAAACCCCCCAAGGAGGCACUCACCCCAGCGGAACAAGGCAUUGCCCUAGGGGUCCUCUUUGUGACUUUCCUGCUUCCCUCUGGUUGGGUCUUGGCACACAUGGAAAAUUAUAAGAAAAGGCCAGAAUAAUCGCUUAUCACCUGCUGUCCGGACGGUCUCGGAGAGAGCGAUUCGUGGUGGUGAAUUGGCCGCAAGCCAGGGGAGCCAGCUGCUUAUCUCUCCAUAUAAUUUGCUCUUCAACAGUCGAAUACCAUUAUAGCUAUUUUUCUAUACAAUAAAAUGUCUCUGUAGACUCUGA